UACGGAGGGUGCAAGCAUUAAUCGGAUUUAUUGGGCGUAAAGGGCGCGUAGGUGGGGAUGCAAGUCAGAUGUGAAAGCCCGAGGCUCAACCUCGGAACAGCAUUUGAAACUACUUCUCUUGAGGGUAGGCGGGGAAAACGGAAUUCCACAAGUAGCGGUGAAAUGCGUAGAUAUGUGGAGGAACAUCUGUGGCGAAGGCGGUUUUCUAGCUUAUUCCUGACACUGAGGCGCGAAAGCAAGGGGAGCAAACAGG
rnacentral:rRNA from 1 species